GGGGGGGGGCAUGGGGACCUCGCCCCUCUUCUCCCCUCACAGGAGCCGGGGUUGGCCUGGUUUGUCCCCUGGGGGGCUGGGGUGUCCCCCCGUCACCUUGCAGCCCCGGUGCUGACAGGACCAUGGUGAUGGGGGCGAGGCCUGGGGGGGGCCUGGAGGCACCGGGAAGGGGAGGGGGGCCCGCAGGGUGCUCCCCCAAUGCCUGGGCAUCCACCGAGGUCCUGCUUCCCUCCUGCUUCCCCCGGCCCCCCCCCAGCCUGGCUUCCUGGCCUGGCUCGCCCUUUCCUGUCCCCCCCCCCUUGGCAGCGGAGCGAAGGGAAAUCGCUGCUCAGUGACCCCGCCGGAGCCGCGCAGGAGGCAGCGAGACAAAGGGGGGCCACGGAGCCCUGCGCCGUGCCUCGGGGUGGGGGCUCGGAGCCCCCAGCGCGGCGCUGAGCCCGGGGACGGCCGUCGGUGGGACAGAGCUGCUGGGAGACUCGCCAUGUUCCCGGAGGAGCGCAAGGAGGGCAGCCCCCGCUUCGGGAAGCUCCACUUCCCCGUCGGCCUCUGGAUCAACUCCCCCAAAAAACACUUGGCCAAAAUGAGCCGCCGCUGGCCCAGCGCCGGCUCCGUCAGGUGAGCCCCCGACCCCGCCACCCCCCCCAAAAAAAGAAAAACCCACCCCAAACCGUCUCUCCCCCCGCCCAGAUCGACCUCGUCGGACAACGCCAGCCGCGGCAGCGAGACGGUGGAGCUGCGGCCCCCCGGCAAGAGCAAGCCGGCGCGGCACAAGCGCCUCUCCAACCUCUUCCACCGCAGCGGCGGCGCCGGUGCCGCGCCGCCGGGCGCCGGCGGGCGUUGGGCCAGCGAGAAGAAGCUGGCGGAGCUGGCGGACCCCCUCCCCGAGGAGCUGGCGGAGCUGGGCGGCCGGCCCCAGCUCCCCGGCAUCCUGAAGAUUUUCGGGGGGGCCAUCUCGCGGGGGGCCAACUACAAGAGCGUCUUGGCCACGCCGCGUUCCACCGCCCGGCAGCUGGUGCGGGAGGCGUUGGAGCGCUACGGCCUGAGCCCGGAGGAAGGCGACUUCGUGCUGUGCGACGUGGUGGGGCGGGCGGCGGGGCCCGACGGCUCGUGGCAGGCCGAGCACCUGCGGCCCGUGGGCGACGCCGAGCGGCCCCUGGUGCUGCAGGACGUCUGGAAGCCCAAGGCCGGCUGCUCGCGGCGCUUCGAGAUCCGCCGCCGCCGCGACGUGGAGCGCGCCUGC
rnacentral:lncRNA from 1 species